rnacentral:rRNA from 1 species
UACGUAGGGUGCAAGCGUUAAUCGGAAUUACUGGGCGUAAAGCGUGCGCAGGCGGUCUCGUAAGUCAGAUGUGAAAUCCCCGAGCUUAACUUGGGAACUGCAUCCGAAACUGCGAGACUAGAGUGUGUCAGAAAGAGGUAGAAUUCCACGUGUAGCAAUGAAAUGCGUAGAUAUGUGGAGGAAUACCAGUGGCGAAGGCGGCCUCCUGGGAUAACACUGACGCUCAUGUACGAAAGCGUGGGGAGCAAACAGG